UAGGGAAUAUUGCUUAAUGGGCGAAAGCCUGAAGCAGCAACGCCGCGUGUGCGAUGAAGGCCUUCGGGUUGUAAAGCACUUUUUGAGGGGAUGAGGAAGGACAGUACCCUCAGAAUAAGUCUCGGCUAACUACGUGCCAGCAGCCGCGGUAAAACGUAGGAGGCGAGCGUUAUCCGGAUUUACUGGGCGUAAAGCGCGUGCAGGCGGCUCGAAAAGUUGGAUGUGAAAGCUCCUGGCUUAACUGGGAGAGGUCGUUCAAUACUUUCGGGCUUGAGGAUGGGAGAGGGCGGUGGAAUUCCGGGUGUAGUGGUGAAAUGCGUAGAUAUCCGGAGGAACACCAGUGGCGAAGGCGGCCUCCUGGCCCAUUUCUGACGCUCAGACGCGAAAGCUAGGGUAGCAAACG
rnacentral:rRNA from 1 species